rnacentral:rRNA from 1 species
CCUACGGGGGGCAGCAGUGGGGAAUAUUGCACAAUGGGGGAAACCCUGAUGCAGCGACGCCGCGUGAGUUAAGAAGUCUCUCUGUAUGUAAAGCUCUAUCAGCAGGGAAGAAAAUCACGGUACCUGCCUACGAAUCCCCCGCUCACUACGUGCCAGCCGCCGCGGUAAUACGUAGGGGGCAAGCGUUAUCCGGAUUUACUGGGUGUAAAGGGUGCGUAGACGGCGCUGCAAGUCCGGAGUGAAAGCCCAUGGCGUAACCAUGGUACUGCUCUGGAAACUGUGGAGCUUGAGUGCGGGAGGGGCAGGCGGAAUUCCUAGUGUAGCGGUGAAAUGCGUAGAUAUUAGGAGGAACACCGGAGGCGAAGGCGGCCUGCUGGACCGUAACUGACGUUGAGGCUCGAAAGCGUGGGGAGCAAACAGGAUUAGAUACCCCAGUAGUC